rnacentral:tRNA from 1 species
UCUCUGGUGGUCCAGUGGUUAGGAUUCUGUACUUUCAAUGCCAUGAACCUGGGUUUGAUCCCUGGUCAGGGAA